rnacentral:tRNA from 1 species
GCCCGGCUAGCUCAGUUGGUAGAGCAUUCGACUCUUACACCAGAGUUUCUUCAAGCACGUGAUCACGUGCCGGUUGACAUCGAAUUGUCGUGGGUUCGAGCCCCACGUUGGGCG